rnacentral:rRNA from 1 species
UACGAAGGGGGCUAGCGUUGUUCGGAAUUACUGGGCGUAAAGCGCACGUAGGCGGAUAUUUAAGUCAGGGGUGAAAUCCCGGGGCUCAACCCCGGAACUGCCUUUGAUACUGGGUAUCUCGAGUCCGAGAGAGGUGAGUGGAAUUCCGAGUGUAGAGGUGAAAUUCGUAGAUAUUCGGAGGAACACCAGUGGCGAAGGGCGGCUCACUGGCUCGGUACUGACGCUGAGGUGCGAAAGCGUGGGAGCAAACAGG